rnacentral:rRNA from 1 species
GAUGAACGCUGGCGGUAUGCUUAACACAUGCAAGUCGAACGGGAUUCUUCGGAAUCUAGUGGCGGACGGGUGAGUAACGCGUGAGAAUCUGCCUUCAGGUCGGGGACAACAUUUGGAAACGAAUGCUAAUACCCGAUGUGCCGCAAGGUGAAAGGUUAACUGCCUGAAGAUGAGCUCGCGUCCGAUUAGCUAGUUGGUGGUGUAAAGGACUACCAAGGCGACGAUCGGUAGCUGGUUUGAGAGGACAAUCAGCCACACUGGGACUGAGACACGGCCCAGACUCCUACGGGAGGCAGCAGUGGGGAAUUUUCCGCAAUGGGCGAAAGCCUGACGGAGCAAUACCGCGUGAGGGGACGAAGGCCUGUGGGUUGUAAAACCCUCUUUUUCUCAGGGAAGAAGCUCUGACGGUACCUGAGGAAUCAGCAUCGGCUAACUCCGUGCCAGCCGCCGCGUUAAU